GCAGGCACACCACACUAUCUCUUCUCUCCCUUUUCUCUCUCUAAAGACAAGGACUGUAGCCACCGAAAUUGAUCACCAAACGGUCGGCAUCGAUUUUCCCUCCUUCCUUUCAAUCUCUUUUCUAUUACUUCUCCAAUCCUAGCGAACCAGCGCUGGUAGAAUCCCACCAGUCGCCGCUAGACCUCACUGUCGGUAGAACCCCAUCGCCCAUCGCACCAUUAGACUAUGCAAUCCAUUACUCACUUUAUUUUCUACCAAUAAUGUAGUAUGAGAGUUUGAAUUGAGAUUUUUGAACUGAAUGGGGAAGGAGGGGAGGGUAGCCCUGAUAUUCUUAAUUCUUGUGACCACUGUGAAUUUAAAUUUGUGACAACCCUAUGCUAAAUUAUUUUCGGUAAGUUUGAAUUUUAGAUUUUUUUUAAUUUUCCAGUAAUUGAUGCAUAUGUAAUUAUUUUCGUAAAUUGGGUCAUAUUUUAUGUGUAAUUAAGGUUAUUUGAUCAAGAAAAUAUUUUGAUGUAGUUAAUUGCCUUAUUGUUUAUCAUUUUAGUGAUACUUGAUAAGUUUGUAAUUAUCUGAAGCUUUUACUUGCCCUCUCUUUAAAUUUAAUAUACACACACACCACACACAGACACAUAGACACACACACACACACAUAUAUGGACACACACACACAUAUAUAUUGGUACUUAUAUAUUUAUGAUGAACUUGGCCUUGCAUACGUCUCUUUAAAACAAUUCUUUUUCAAAUUUAUUUCAGGAUAUUUCUUUUUUUUUUUUCUCUAAUUGAUUAUUGCAAAUAUUUUCCUCCCUUAGGCUUGAAUAUAUUUUGCUUGUUUAUUUUUGGUAAAUUAAACUUAUUAUUUUGUGAAGAUUCAAUCAUUUAUUUAUGAAAUAGGCAUAUUUUUAUUUGAUUAUGAGGAAUAUCACACCUUCCUUUAUUUUGUAACCCCUUUGCUAUAUAAACACCCUUCUCUUCUCUUAACAUUCACCCUUUCAUCUGCUAUUACUCACUACUAGCUAUAUUUAUUCUUCUUUAUACAAAAAUUAAAAUACUUUCAAGUUCUUUGGCACCUUUGCGUUUCGAAGAAGCAUUCAGCUCUGUCUUAUUACUUCAAUUAUUUUGCUUUAUGUCUUCUUCUUAUUAUUUAUUUGUUGUUUACCGGUAAAUUUCUAUCGAUGUAAUUUUUUUAUUUAUGUAAUGAUUUUAUGGUGUCGUGGGACCUUUAGAAAAUAUGCCUAUAGGAUCCAACUAAAGUAGCUGAUGUUGUUUUGAAUUUACCUAUUUUUGUUAGAUGUGCCUUUUCUUUGUUGUUCCUCUAUUAAUUAUCCAAUUUUGGUGCAUUCAAACUCUCGAUGUUGGUUUUUAUAUUUUACAUUUAACAGGUGCUUCUUGAGGUUUGAAGAGUUGUCUUGAAGUUAUGGGAGGGGCUGCUUAUUCUUUAUUAGUUUAAUCUCUUUACGUCUUUUUCUUUAGUUAGUAAUAAUUUGUAUAAACCUCUAUUAUGUAAUAGUAAAAUUAUGGGACUACUUGUAGGG
rnacentral:lncRNA from 1 species